rnacentral:rRNA from 1 species
UCUGACGGAGCACGCCGCGUGAGUGAUGAAGGCUUUCGGGUCGUAAAACUCUGUUGUUAGGGAAGAACAAGUACAAGAGUAACUGCUUGUACCUUGACGGUACCUAACCAGAAAGCCACGGCUAACUACGUGCCAGCAGCCGCGGUAAUACGUAGGUGGCAAGCGUUAUCCGGAAUUAUUGGGCGUAAAGCGCGCGCAGGCGGUUUCUUAAGUCUGAUGUGAAAGCCCACGGCUCAACCGUGGAGGGUCAUUGGAAACUGGGGAACUUGAGUGCAGAAGAAAAAAGCGGAAUUCCACGUGUAGCGGUGAAAUGCGUAAAGAUGUGGAGGAACACCAGUGGCGAAGGCGGCUUUUUGGUCUGUAACUGACGCUGAGGCGCGAAAGCGUGGGGAGCAAACAGGAUUAAAUACCCUGGUAGUCCACGCCGUAAACGAUGAGUGCUAAGUGUUAGAGGGUUUCCGCCCUUUAGUGCUGCAGCUAACGCAUUAAGCACUCCGCCUGGGGAGUACGGUCGCAAGACUGAAACUCAAAGGAAUUGACGGGGGCCCGCACAAGCGGUGGAGCAUGUGGUUUAAUUCGAAGCAACGCGAAGAACCUUACCAGGUCUUGACAUCCUCUGACAACUCUAGAGAUAGAGCGUUCCCCUUCGGGGGACAGAGUGACAGGUGGUGCAUGGUUGUCGUCAGCUCGUGUCGUGAGAUGUUGGGUUAAGUCCCGCAACGAGCGCAACCCUUGAUCUUAGUUGCCAGCAUUUAUUUGGGCACUCUAAGGUGACUGCCGGUGACAAACCGGAGGAAGGUGGGGGAUGACGUCAAAUCAUCAUGCCCCUUAUGACCUGGGCUACACACGUGCUACAAUGGAUGGUACAAGGGCUGCAAGACCGCGAGGUCAAGCCAAUCCCAUAAACCAUUCUCAGUUCGGAUUGUAGGCUGCACUC